rnacentral:rRNA from 1 species
AUUGAACGCUGGCGGCAUGCCUUACACAUGCAAGUCGAACGGCAGCACGGGAGCAAUCCUGGUGGCGAGUGGCGAACGGGUGAGUAAUGUAUCGGGAACGUACCUUUCAGUGGGGGAUAACGUAGCGAAAGUUACGCUAAUACCGCAUAUUCUGUGAAGCAGGAAAGCAGGGGAUCGCAAGGCCUUGCGCUGAUUGAGCGGCCGAUAUCAGAUUAGCUAGUUGGUGAGGUAAAGGCUCACCAAGGCGACGAUCUGUAGCGGGUCUGAGAGGAUGAUCCGCCACACUGGAACUGAGACACGGUCCAGACUCCUACGGAGGCAGCAGUGGGGAAUUUUGGACAAUGGGCGCAAGCCUGGUCCAGCCAUGCCGCGUGAGUGAAGAAGGCCUCGGU